rfam:Triticum aestivum genome assembly, contig: Triticum_aestivum_CS42_TGACv1_scaffold_471804_6AL
UUUGUACUCCUUCCGUUUCGAAUUAUUUGUCUUUGAUUUGUCUAGAUACGGAGGUAUCUAGCACUAAAAUAUGUCUAGAUACAUUUGUAUCUACACAAAUUCAAGACAAGUAAUUGGGAACGGAAUGAGUACUAU